UGAUCUGAGGGCAGUUUAGCUGUGACGUCUUUCACACCUUUGAUCACCAAGGUUAAUUUGGCUGAUAUAGCAGGGUAGGCAGCUGUUCCUCCUUCACCUCUCCAUACAUGUUUUCCCCUGAAGCUGUGUGCUGAAAAAUGAUCUUCCUCAACAGAGGAAGACUUGUUUUUCAGCUGAGUACAUAGGAAUAGAGUAGAGUUUCAAAAUGAGCACUCAAGGUCUACUCAAACAUUUGGAGCCACUAAAAUCAGAAUCUUUGGAGAUCUUUUUUUUAAA
rnacentral:snRNA from 1 species